UACGUAGGGGGCGAGCGUUGUCCGGAUUUAUUGGGCGUAAAGAGCUCGUAGGCGGCUUGGCAAGUCGGGUGUGAAACCUCCAGGCUCAACCUGGAGACGCCACUCGAUACUGCUAUGGCUAGAGUCCGGUAGGGGACCACGGAAUUCCUGGCGUAGCGGUGAAAUGCGCAGAUAUCAGGAGGAACACCGGUGGCGAAGGCGGUGGUCUGGGCCGGCACUGACGCUGAGGAGCGAAAGCGUGGGUAGCAAACAGGG
rnacentral:rRNA from 1 species